UACACAUGCAAGUCGAGCGGUAAGGCCCUUCGGGGUACACGAGCGGCGAACGGGUGAGUAACACGUGGGUAACCUGCCCUGUACUCUGGGAUAAGCCUGGGAAACUAGGUCUAAUACCGGAUACGACCUCUGGGGGCAUCUUCAGGGGUGGAAAGUUCCGGCGGUACGGGAUGGACCCGCGGCCUAUCAGCUUGUUGGUGGGGUAAUGGCCUACCAAGGCGACGACGGGUAGCCGGCCUGAGAGGGUGACCGGCCACACUGGGACUGAGACACGGCCCAGACUCCUACGGGAGGCAGCAGUGGGGAAUAUUGCACAAUGGGCGAAAGCCUGAUGCAGCGACGCCGCGUGAGGGAUGACGGCCUUCGGGUUGUAAACCUCUUUCAGCAGGGACGAAGCGCGAGUGACGGUACCUGCAGAAGAAGCACCGGCUAACUACGUGCCAGCAGCCGCGGUAAUACGUAGGGUGCGAGCGUUGUCCGGAAUUAUUGGGCGUAAAGAGCUCGUAGGCGGUUUGUUGCGUCGGCUGUGAAAACUUCACGCUUAACGUGGAGCCUGCAGUCGAUACGGGCAGACUUGAGUUCGGCAGGGGAGACUGGAAUUCCUGGUGUAGCGGUGAAAUGCGCAGAUAUCAGGAGGAACACCGGUGGCGAAGGCGGGUCUCUGGGCCGAUACUGACGCUGAGGAGCGAAAGCGUGGGGAGCGAACAGGAUUAGAUACCCUGGUAGUCCACGCCGUAAACGGUGGGUGCUAGGUGUGGGGGACUUCCACGUCCUCCGUGCCGCAGCUAACGCAUUAAGCACCCC
rnacentral:rRNA from 1 species